rnacentral:rRNA from 1 species
CCUACGGGGGGCUGCAGUCGAGGAUCUUUCGCAAUGGGCGAAAGCCUGACGAAGCGACGCCGUGUGAAUGAUGAAGGCCUUCGGGUUGUAAAGUUCUUUCGCUUGGGAACAAGAGAGAAGGACGAAUAGUCCUUUGAUUUGAGGGUACCAGGUAAAGAAGCACCGGCUAACUCCGUGCCAGCAGCUGCGGUAAUACGGAGGGUGCAAGCAUUAAUCGGAUUUAUUGGGCGUAAAGGGCGCGUAGGCGGAUAGAUAAGUCAGAUGUGAAAUUCCAAGGCUCAACUUUGGAGCUGCAUUUGAAACUAUUUAUCUUGAGGGAUGGCGGAGAAAACGGAAUUCCACGUGUAGCGGUGAAAUGCGUAGAUAUGUGGAGGAACACCUGUGGCGAAAGCGGUUUUCUAGCUUAUACCUGACGCUGAGGCGCGAGAGCAAGGGGAGCA